rnacentral:rRNA from 1 species
GGUUAAGUGACUAAGCGUACACGGUGGAUGCCUUGGCAGUCAGAGGCGAUGAAAGACGUAGUAACUUGCGAUAAGCCCAGAUUAGGUAGUAACAACCAUUUGAGUCUGGGAUUUCUGAAUGGGGAAACCCACGUGCAUAAGCACGUAUCCUUACCUGAAUACAUAGGGUAAGGAGGCGAACCGGGGGAACUGAAACAUCUAAGUACCCCGAGGAAAAGAAAUCAACCGAGAUUCCGAAAGUAGCGGCGAGCGAAAUUGGACUAGCCCUUAAGCUUUACACGCGUUAGACGAACGGUCUGGAAAGUCCGACGAUACAGGGUGAUAGUCCCGUAGUUGACGACGUGUGUUCAGUGAAAUCGAGUAGGGCGGGACACGUGAUAUCCUGUCUGAAUAUGGGGGGACCAUCCUCCAAGGCUAAAUACUACUGACUGACCGAUAGUGAACCAGUACCGUGAGGGAAAGGCGAAAAGAACCCCUGUGAGGGGAGUGAAAUAGAACCUGAAACCGUGUACGUACAAGCAGUAGGAGCAGGCUUGUCCUGUGACUGCGUACCUUUUGUAUAAUGGGUCAGCGACUUAUAUUCAGUGGCAAGGUUAACCAUCUAGGGGAGCCGUAGGGAAACCGAGUCUUAACUGGGCGUUCAGUCUCUGGAUAUAGACCCGAAACCAGGUGAUCUAGCCAUGGGCAGGUUGAAGGUUGAGUAACAUCAACUGGAGGACCGAACCGACUAAUGUUGAAAAAUUAGCGGAUGACUUGUGGCUAGGGGUGAAAGGCCAAUCAAACCUGGAGAUAGCUGGUUCUCCCCGAAAGCUAUUUAGGUAGCGCCUCGGACGAAUACUACUGGGGGUAGAGCACUGUUAAGGCUAGGGGGUCAUCCCGACUUACCAACCCUUUGCAAACUCCGAAUACCAGUAAGUACUAUCCGGGAGACACACGGCGGGUGCUAACGUCCGUCGUGGAGAGGGAAACAACCCAGACCGCCAGCUAAGGUCCCAAAUUACUACUAAGUGGGAAACGAUGUGGGAAGGCUCAGACAGCCAGGAUGUUGGCUUAGAAGCAGCCAUCAUUUAAAGAAAGCGUAAUAGCUCACUGGUCGAGUCGGCCUGCGCGGAAGAUGUAACGGGGCUAAGUAGUAAACCGAAGCUGCGGCAAUAUACUUUUGUAUAUUGGGUAGGGGAGCGUUCUGUAAGCGGUUGAAGGUGUGUGGUAACGCAUGCUGGACGUAUCAGAAGUGCGAAUGCUGACAUGAGUAACGAUAAAGGGGGUGAAAAACCUCCUCGCCGGAAGACCAAGGGUUCCUGUCCAACGUUAAUCGGGGCAGGGUAAGUCGACCCCUAAGGCGAGGCCGAAAGGCGUAGUCGAUGGGAAACGGGUUAAUAUUCCCGUACUUCUUACAAUUGCGAUGGGGGGACGGAGAAGGCUAGGUGGGCCUGGCGACGGUUGUCCAGGUUCAAGUGCGUAGGCUUAAGAGUUAGGUAAAUCCGGCUCUUUUUAAGGCUGAGACACGACGUCGAGCACCUACGGGUGUGAAGUCAUUGAUGCCAUGCUUCCAGGAAAAGCCUCUAAGCUUCAGAUUGUAAGGAAUCGUACCCCAAACCGACACAGGUGGUCGGGUAGAGAAUACCAAGGCGCUUGAGAGAACUCGGGUGAAGGAACUAGGCAAAAUGGUACCGUAACUUCGGGAGAAGGUACGCUCUCGACGGUGAAGUCCCUCGCGGAUGGAGCUAUUGAGAGUCGCAGAUACCAGGUGGCUGCAACUGUUUAUUAAAAACACAGCACUGUGCAAAAUCGUAAGAUGACGUAUACGGUGUGACGCCUGCCCGGUGCCGGAAGGUUAAUUGAUGGGGUUAGACUUCGGUCGAAGCUCUUGAUCGAAGCCCCGGUAAACGGCGGCCGUAACUAUAACGGUCCUAAGGUAGCGAAAUUCCUUGUCGGGUAAGUUCCGACCUGCACGAAUGGCGUAAUGAUGGCCACGCUGUCUCCACCCGAGACUCAGUGAAAUUGAAAUCGCUGUGAAGAUGCAGUGUACCCGCGGCUAGACGGAAAGACCCCGUGAACCUUUACUACAGCUUGGCACUGAACAUUGACCCUACAUGUGUAGGAUAGGUGGGAGGCUUUGAAGCACGUACGCCAGUAUGUGUGGAGCCGUCCUUGAAAUACCACCCUUGUAGUGUUGAUGUUCUAACGUUGACCCCUUAUCGGGGUUGCGGACAGUGCCUGGUGGGUAGUUUGACUGGGGCGGUCUCCUCCCAAAGAGUAACGGAGGAGCACGAAGGUGGGCUAAUCACGGUUGGACAUCGUGAGGUUAGUGCAAUGGCAUAAGCCCGCUUGACUGCGAGAAUGACAAUUCGAGCAGGUGCGAAAGCAGGUCAUAGUGAUCCGGUGGUUCUGAAUGGAAGGGCCAUCGCUCAACGGAUAAAAGGUACUCCGGGGAUAACAGGCUGAUACCGCCCAAGAGUUCAUAUCGACGGCGGUGUUUGGCACCUCGAUGUCGGCUCAUCACAUCCUGGGGCUGAAGUCGGUCCCAAGGGUAUGGCUGUUCGCCAUUUAAAGUGGUACGCGAGCUGGGUUUAGAACGUCGUGAGACAGUUCGGUCCCUAUCUGCCGUGGGCGUUGGAAGAUUGAAGGGGGCUGCUCCUAGUACGAGAGGACCGGAGUGGACGAACCUCUGGUGUUCGGGUUGUGUCGCCAGACGCAUUGCCCGGUAGCUAAGUUCGGAAUCGAUAACCGCUGAAAGCAUCUAAGCGGGAAGCGAGCCCUGAGAUGAGUCUUCCCUGAUACUUUAAGUAUCCUAAAGGGUUGUCGGAGACUACGACGUUGAUAGGUCAGGUGUGUAAGUGCUGUGAGGCAUUGAGCUAACUGAUACUAAUUGCCCGUGAGGCUUAACCAU